rnacentral:tRNA from 3 species
GCACCCUUAGCUCAGCUGGAUAGAGCAUCGGACUUCUAAUCCGACGGUCGCAGGUUCGAAUCCUGCAGGGUGCA